AAGUCGUAACAAGGUUUCCGUAGGUGAACCUGCGGAAGGAUCAUUACUGCUUGCUCAUGGCCGGCUUGGUGGGGAAACCCGCCAGACGGUACGGCAACACACCCUUGACUAUCAUACCCAUUGUUACUUCCCUUGGUGGGGUAACCUGCCGCUGGGGACACCGUAAAUCCUCUUGUAUAAAGCAUAAACUUCUGAAACAAACCUAAAAUAUUACAACUUUCAAUAAUGGAUCUCUUGGUUCUG
rnacentral:misc_RNA from 1 species